GAUGAAGAACGUAGCGAAAUGCGAUAAGUAGUGUGAAUUGCAGAAUUCAGUGAAUCAUCGAAUCUUUGAACGCACAUUGCGCCCCUUGGUAUCCCGAGGGGCAUGCCUGUUCGAGCGUCAUUUCACCACUCAAGCCUGGCUUGGUGUUGGGCGACGUCCUCUUUGGGGACGCGCCUCGAAACGCUCGGCGGCGUGGCACCGGCUUUAAGCGUAGCAGAAUCUUUCGCUUUGGAAGUCGGGGCCCCGUCUGCCGGAAGACCUGCUCGCAAGGUUGACCUCGGAUCGGGCAGGGAUACCCGCUGAACUUAAGCAUAUCAAUAAGCGGAGGA
rnacentral:misc_RNA from 1 species